CAUGAACGCUGGCGGCGUGCUUAACACAUGCAAGUCGAACGAAGCGCUUUUAUUUGAUUUCUUCGGAAUGAAGGUUUUAGUGACUGAGUGGCGGACGGGUGAGUAACGCGUGGGAACCUGCCUCAUACAGGGGGAUAACAGUUAGAAAUGACUGCUACUACCGCAUAAGACCACAGUACCGCAUGGUACAGGGGGAAAAACUCCGGUGGUAUGAGAUGGACCCGCGUCUGAUUAGGUAGUUGGUGGGGUAACGGCCUACCAAGCCGACGAUCAGUAGCCGACCUGAGAGGGUGACCGGCCACAUUGGGACUGAGACACGGCCCAAACUCCUACGGGAGGCAGCAGUGGGGAAUAUUGCACAAUGGGGGAAACCCUGAUGCAGCGACGCCGCGUGAGCGAUGAAGUAUUUCGGUAUGUAAAGCUCUAUCAGCAGGGAAGAAAAUGACGGUACCUGACUAAGAAGCACCGGCUAAAUACGCGCCAGCAGCCGCGGUAAUAC
rnacentral:rRNA from 1 species